rnacentral:rRNA from 1 species
GAUGAACGCUGGCGGUAUGCUUAACACAUGCAAGUCGUACGAAGAUCUUUGAUCUUAGUGGCGGACGGGUGAGUAACACGUGAGAAUCUGCCCUUAGGAAGAGGAUAACAGCUGGAAACGGUUGCUAAUACUCUAUACGCCGAGAGGUAAAAGGAUUUAUCCACCUUAGGAAGAGCUCGCGUCUGAUUAGCUUGUUGGUAAGGUAAGAGCUUACCAAGGCGACGAUCAGUAUCUGGUUUGAGAGGACGAUCAGACACACUGGAACUGAGACACGGUCCAGACUCCUACGGGAGGCAGCAGUGGGGAAUUUUCCGCAAUGGGCGAAAGCCUGACGGAGCAAUACCGCGUGAGGGAAGAAUGCCUAUGGGUUGUAAACCUCUUUUUUCAGGGAGGAAUAAAAUGACGUGUACCUGAAGAAUAAGCAUCGGCUAACUCCGUG